UACGGGAGUGGCAAGCGUUACCCAGCGUUACUGGGCGUAAAGGGUCCGUAGACUGUAAAAUAAGUUAUUGGUAAAAUUUUAAAGCCCAACUUUAAAUUAGCCUUUAAUACUGUUUUACUUGAGUUUUAUACAGAAGACUGGAAUUUUAUAAGAAAGGGUAAAAUCUAAAGAUAUAUAAAGGAACGCCAGUAGCGAAGGCGAGUCUUUGGUAAAAACUGACGUUGAGGGACGAAAGUAUGGGGAGCAAACAGG
rnacentral:rRNA from 1 species